GAUGAACGCUGGCGGCGUGCUUAACACAUGCAAGUCGAACGGAAAGGCUCCUGCUUGCAGGGGUACUCGAGUGGCGAACGGGUGAGUAACACGUGGGUGAUCUGCCCUGCACUUCGGGAUAAGCCUGGGAAACUGGGUCUAAUACCGGAUAGGACGAUGGUUUGGAUGCCAUUGUGGAAAGUUUUUCGGUGUGGGAUGAGCUCGCGGCCUAUCAGCUUGUUGGUGGGGUAAUGGCCUACCAAGGCGUCGACGGGUAGCCGGCCUGAGAGGGUGUACGGCCACAUUGGGACUGAGAUACGGCCCAGACUCCUACGGGAGGCAGCAGUGGGGAAUAUUGCACAAUGGGCGCAAGCCUGAUGCAGCGACACCGCGUGGGGGAUGACGGCCUUCGGGUUGUAAACUCCUUUCGCUAGGGACGAAGCGUUUUGUGACGGUACCUGGAGAAGAAGCACCGGCUAACUACGUG
rnacentral:rRNA from 1 species